AACGAACGCUGGCGGCAUGCCUAACACAUGCAAGUCGAACGAGACCUUCGGGUCUGGUGGCGCACGGGUGCGUAACGCGUGGGAAUCUACCCUUGGGUUCGGAAUAACAGUUAGAAAUGACUGCUAAUACCGGAUGAUGACGUAAGUCCAAAGAUUUAUCGCCCAAGGAUGAGCCCGCGUAAGAUUAGCUUGUUGGUGGGGUAAUGGCCUACCAAGGCGACGAUCUUUAGCUGGUCUGAGAGGAUGAUCAGCCACACUGGGACUGAGACACGGCCCGGACGCCUACGGGAGGCAGCAGUGGGGAAUAUUGGACAAUGGGCGAAAGCCUGAUCCAGCAAUGCCGCGUGAGUGAUGAAGGCCUUAGGGUUGUAAAGCUCUUUUACCAGGGAUGAUAAUGACAGUACCUGGAGAAUAAGCUCCGGCUAACUCCGUGCCAGCAGCCGCCGUAA
rnacentral:rRNA from 1 species